AGGAGACACAGAAGAUGGAGGGAGGGAUGGCAGCCUACCCUGUGGCAACGCGGGAGUCGCGUUGCCGCAGGGGGCGCAUUGGGGUCCAGCCGUCCCCAGAACGCAGAUCAGAGGUAGUCGGACCUUUCCCGCUGGCGCGCAGCCUCAGCUAGGGCACACAGAGUGAACAGAAAAAGAGGAUACCUCUGCGAUCCCGGGUCAUCUCCAGAUGCUAGGGUUAUGGUUUAUUCUAGUGGGCCCAACCUCUGAGACCAUCCUUGAACAUCAGUAGACUGUGAGUUGUACAUGGGCGAGAGCAGCUUCGCCAACCCCUGCAAAGUGACUCUGAAGAAGAUGACAAUACCUGCUUCAGUCACACCCGGAAGCUGACUGGUCCACGCAUGGCCAAAGCAUGAGAAAACUCAUUGCGGGACUCAUUUUCCUUAAAAUUUGGACUUAUACCAUAGGGACUUCAACUGACCUUCCUCAGACUGAAGACUAUUCCCAGUAUAUACGUCAAGUCACUGAGGUAGGAAAAAAGUUGCUACAGUCCUAUUAUUUUAUGGUUAUUAUAAGUAUACCAGGACUCUAAAAAGAACUUGUUUGUAUAAUGCUAUUCUAUACAAGGUAUGUAGCCCAGGAAAUGACCAACCUGAUGUGUGUUAUGACCCAUCUGAGCCUCCCAUGACCACAGUUUUUAAGAUUAAGGACUGAAACCUGGUGGGGGCUCAUAAACGAUAUGAGUAAAGUGUUAGCCAAAACAAAAGAAAAAGGGGUGCCCAAACAAGUCACCUUGAAGUUUGAUGCCUGUGUUGUCAUUAAUAGUAAUAAGUUAGGAAUAGGAUGUGGUUCUCUUAAUUAGGAAAAAGGCUAUAUGGCAAAAAAAAAAAAAAAGUACAUUUGUCAUAAAUUAGGACUGUAUGGAAAUGAACGUGCAUACUGGUCUUGUGUCAUUUCGGCUACUUGGAUAAAAAAUGAAAAGGAUCCCGUCCACCUUCAGAAAGGGAAAAGUGGCCCUUCCUGUACAAGUGGUCAGUGUAACCCCUUAGAACUAGUAAUAACCAACCCCCUUGAUCCUCACUGGAAAAAAGGGGAGCGUGUAACCCUAGGAAUUGAGGGGGCUGGACUGGAUCCUCGAGUAAAUAUCAUGGCUUGAGGAGAAGUUUAUAAACGCUCUCCUGAGCCAGUAUCUCAACCCUUCUACGAUUAACUGAAUGUGUCAGUACCAGAAAUUCCAGGAAAAACAAGAAAUUUGUUUUUACAAUUAGCUGAGCAUGUAGCCUAGUCUCUCAGUUUCACUUCAUGUUAUGUAUGUGGAGGAACUAUAAUGGGAGAUCAAUGGCCAUGGGAAGCCUGAGAAUUAGUACCUACAGACCCAGUUCCUGAUGAAUCCCCAGUUCAAAAGAAUCACCCUGAUAACUUCUGGGUCCUAAAAGCCUCAAUUAUUAGACAAUACUGUAUAGCAAGAGUGGGGAAGGACUUCAACCUUCCUGUGGGAAGACUCAACUGCCUUGAGCAAAAACUGUAUAAUAUUACUACAAAAACAGCCACCUAGUGGAGUUCAAACCACACUAAGAAAAAUCCAUUUAGUAAAUUCCCAAAGUUGCAAACCAUGUGAACCCACCCAGAGUCCCACUGGGACUGGGCAGCCCCCACUGGAUUAUACUGGAUAUGUGGGCAUAGAGCUUACACCAAAUUACCCUACCAGUGGGCAGAUAGUUGUGUUAUUGGCACUAUUAAACCAUCUUUCUUCCUACUGCCCAUAAAGACAGGCAAACUCCUGGGCUUCCCUGUCUAUGCUUCCCACAAAAAGAGAAGCAUAGCUAUAGGAAAUUGGAAAGAUAAUGAAUGGCCCCCUGAGAGAAUCAUAUAAUAUUAUGGGCCCGCUACUUGGGCACAAGAUGGCUCGCGGUGAUAUGGGACCCCCAUUUACAUGCUGAACUGAAUCAUACGGUUACAAGCUGUCUUAGAAAUAAUCACUAAUAAGAUCGGCAGAGCCUUGACUAUUCUGACCCAGCAAGAAACUCAGAUGAGAAAUGCUGUCUAUCAAAAUAGAUUGGCUCUCGACUACUUGCUAGCAGCUGAAGGAGGGGUCUGUGGGAAAUUUAACCUUACUAAUUGCU
rnacentral:lncRNA from 1 species